GGCGGACGGGUGAGUAAUGCUUAGGAAUCAGCCUAUUAGUGGGGGACAACAUCUCGUAAGGGAUGCUAAUACCGCAUACGUCCUACGGGAGAAAGCAGGGAUCUUCGGACCUUGCGCUAAUAGAUGAGCCUAAGUCGGAUUAGCUAGUUGGUGGGGUAAAGGCCUACCAAGGCGACGAUCUGUAGCGGGUCUCAGAGGAUGAUCCGCCACACUGGGACUGAGACACGGCCACAGACUCCUACGGGAGGCAGCAGUGGGGAAUAUUGGACAAUGGGCGCAAGCCUGAUCCAGCCAUGCAGCGUGAGUGAAGAAGGCCUUAUGGUUGUAAAGCACUUUAAGCGAGGGGAGGCUACUUUUAGAUAAUACCUAGAGAUAGUGGACGUUACUCGCAGAAUAAGCACCGGCUAACUCUCUGCCAGCAGCCGCGGUAAUACAGAGGGUGCAAGCGUUAAUCGGUUUUACUGGGCGUAAAGCGCGCGUAGGCGGCUAAUUAAGUCAAAUGUGAAAUCCCCGAGCUUAACUUGGAAUUGCAUUCGAUACUGGUUAGCUAGAGUGUGGGUCGAGGAUGGUAGAAUUCCAGGUGUAGCGGUGAAUUGCGUAUAGAUCUGGAGGAAUACCGAUGGCGAAGGAAGCCAU
rnacentral:rRNA from 1 species